GCCCGGAUAGCUCAGUCGGUAGAGCAUUGGAC
rnacentral:ncRNA from 2 species